AUGUUCCACAAGAAACAAAAAAAGAAAAAAAGUAAGAAAGAAAAGAAGGCAAGAGAAGAAAAGGAAAGAAGAAAAGAAACAACAGAGGGACAGGAAGGAAGGGAGGAAGGAAAGAACGCAGAAAGGAGAGAAAGCAGCUUCCAGAACCAGGCCCCGGCCGGGAGCCCAGCGCGGAGACACAGGACGACUGGAUGCUGUGCGGCACCGUGGCCCAGCUCACCCGGACCUUCUGGUCCGGGCAGUGAGGACGCAGUGGUCGUCGGGACUCACGUCCAGCGAACGGGAUUGACCGAGGACAGAACUGCAGCGCCCCUCCCCCGCGGCUCACACCCUGGCUGUCCCUGUCUUCUGGGCCACCCUGAUGCCUCCUCACCUGCCUGUCUGCACCCACCUUCCACACCACCUUCCUGAGCCCCACUCCUGAGGCCGCCUGCCACCAGCCUGCACGUCUGCGGGGCUGCUGCUGAACCCACACCCCCGACAGCCUGGCUUCUGAGGUCGAGCCCCGCACCAGGCUCCGCACUGACGGUGUGGCGCCUGCUUGGGAUGCUCUCUCCUCCUCCCUCUCUGCCCUUCACCUCCGCAGGUUCUCUCUCAAAAUAAACUUUAAAAAAAAUCCAUGUAAGAUGGUCAUGUCAGGAGAAAUUAGGUUGAUAUGUUUGGGGGCGUUUCUUACUGGCAAAUUUAAAACUGCCACCUGGUGGGGGCACCAGCCGGGGCUCCGUCACUUAAGCUUCUGACUUCAGCUCAGCUCAAGGCUUGUGGUUCCGGGGUUUCAGCCUCCUGUCAGGCUCUGUGCUGACAGCUUGGAGCCUGAAGCCUGCUUCGGACUCUGUGUCUCCUUCCCUCUCUGCCCCUCCCCUGCUGUGAUCUGUCUCUCUCCAUCUCAAAAAUAAACAUAAAAAAUUUCCUAGUAAAAUAAACCUGCCACCUGUUACACAUGUCUCCACUACCCGAGAAACCUCCCAGGGCUGCCAAGCGCCUGCCAGCACAGGAGGCGCCACCAUCCUCCCUCCAGACCCCAAGCUCUCUCCGGGUCACGCCCGUGUCCCCCUUCCACUGCCCGGCACACUGGACACAGACGAGCAGAGCCUUCGACGUGACUGCACCAGCCUCUCCCAUAAACACGGUCGCGUCGGUCACUUCUCCGUGGCAGGAACCUGCCGCCAGCACAUUCUCUCAAGAGGCAUCGAUAAAGCAAGCAUUUCAGUGCAGUAAACCAGCCUCCCAGGAGCACGUGUUGGGUCCCAGGAGUCUCCGAAACAAAGCAAUCCGGAAAGGACCCCAGGUCUAUCAGGAAAUUCUCUAUGAAAACGGAAUUUAACACUGCAACGGGACUCGGGGCAGAGAGCACGCCGUCUGUGUCAGUUAACGAAUCCAAACCACCCGAGGAAAGAGCAGGGGCCGAACCUGACCAUCGAGACCCACGCGGCUCCCGGGGCGAGGCUCCCGGAUGACGGUUAUUGCUACAAACUCUCAGGAGCCGCGCUAGCAGGUGCACGCAGGCAGGGAGAGCAAAGCAGGGCCGUGUGCAGGGGUGCUGG
rnacentral:lncRNA from 1 species